AACGAACGCUGGCGGCAGGCUUAACACAUGCAAGUCGAACGGUUGUAGCAAUACAGCAGUGGCAGACGGGUGAGUAACACGUGGGAACCUUCCUAGGGGUACGGAACAACUCAGGGAAACUUGAGCUAAUACCGUAUACGUCCGUGAGGAGAAAGUUUUAACGCCCCUAGACGGGCCCGCGUAGGAUUAGGUAGUUGGUGAGGUAACGGCUCACCAAGCCUACGAUCCUUAGCUGAUCUGAGAGGAUGAUCAGCCACACUGGGACUGAGACACGGCCCAGACUCCUACGGGAGGCAGCAGUGGGGAAUCUUGGACAAUGGGCGCAAGCCUGAUCCAGCCAUGCCGCGUGAGUGAAGAAGGCCU
rnacentral:rRNA from 1 species